rnacentral:rRNA from 1 species
UACAGAGGUCUCAAGCGUUGUUCGGAUUCAUUGGGCGUAAAGGGUGCGUAGGCGGCGCGGUAAGUCGGGUGUGAAAUCUUGGAGCUUAACUCCGAAACUGCAUUCGAUACUGCCGUGCUUGAGGACUGGAGAGGAGACUGGAAUUUACGGUGUAGCGGUGAAAUGCGUAGAUAUCGUAAGGAAGACCAGUGGCGAAGGCGGGUCUCUGGACAGUCCUGACGCUGAGGCACGAAGGCCAGGGAGCAAACGGG